CUCCCUGCGUGCUUAAAUGGAGAUGAGGUUUUAUUCUGUGGCUGAGGGAGAGGAGACAGGUUUGGGCAGAGGCACUUGGUGGAGGGGGGAUGCAGGCAACAGCAGAAUGGCUCCGGGGACCAUUCUAGACAGAGAUGUUCCAGGCCGAAGCUGGAAACUCAAGUCGUUGGAGAAGUAUAUCUGAUAAAGCCACAUUAUACCAUUAUGAGGUGCACCGCUGGUAUUCGAGGAUUGUUUGUUAGUCGAACGAGUGGCUUGGAAAACAGAGUGACUUUCUACGGAGAUGACCCCUGGAAGUGUUUCCUUCUGUCCCAGUAUAGCCACCAUGGUGCGACAGCUCUUUGCUAUUCUCAGAGGUGCAUCCUUUUAUCCUCCUACUGUAGAGCCACAUGCCCUGUGAAGAUCCUGACUAGUGAAUUUUGGAAAGAGAAUCUCUGAGAACUGUAACUCAACUUUGGGUAGAAGUCUAUUCCGAAUUCUGUGGACAACUUGAGUCUUGGGAGCAUGUCUUUUUCUUGCACAUAGUAGGCACUCAAUUAAACUUCGUUCAAUAAAUAAAGAGAAAACCCCUCUUGUUUAAAUAAAAGAGUGAAUUCGUGUUAG